CCUACGGGUGGCAGCAGUGGGGGAUAUUGCACAAUGGGGGGAACCCUGAUGCAGCGACGCCGCGUGGGUGAAGGAGUGCUUCGGCAUGUAAAGCCCUAUCGGCAGGGAAGAAGCAAGACGGUACCUGACUAAGAAGCGCCGGCUAACUACGGGCCAGCAGCCGCGGUAAUACGUAGGGGGCGAGCGUUAUCCGGAUUCGCUGGGUGUAAAGGGAGCGUAUACGGCCAAGCAAGCCGGGGGUGAACGCCCGGGGCCCAACCCCGGGACUGCCGUUGGAACUGCAUGGCUGGAGUGCGGGAGGGGCAGGCGGAAUGCCUGGUGUAGCGGUGAAAUGCGUAGAUAUCAGGAGGAACACCGGGGGCGAAGGCGGCAUGCUGGACCGCGACUGACGUUGAGGCUCGAAAGCGUGGGGAGCGAACAGGAUUAGAUACCCUGGUAGUC
rnacentral:rRNA from 1 species